UACGUAUGGUGCAAGCGUUAUCCGGAUUUACUGGGUGUAAAGGGAGCGCAGGCGGCGCGGCAAGUCCGAUGUGAAAACCCCCGGUUCAACCGGGGGACUGCAUUGGAAACUACCGGGCUGGAGUGCCGGAGAGGUAGGCGGAAUUCCUGGUGUAGCGGUGAAAUGCGUAGAUAUCAGGAGGAACACCAGUGGCGAAGGCGGCCUACUGGACGGUGACUGACGCUGAGGCUCGAAAGCGUGGGGAGCAAACAGG
rnacentral:rRNA from 1 species